rfam:Candidatus Nomurabacteria bacterium RIFCSPHIGHO2_02_FTLL_38_15 rifcsphigho2_02_scaffold_1770, whole genome shotgun sequence.
UUCAAGUAGAGUUUGAUCCUAGCUCAGGAUGAACGCUGGCGGCGUGGAUAAGGCAUGCAAGUCGAACGGAUAGUACCGUGAAAGUAUUUAAGAAAUCUGAAGUAGCAAUACAGAGGGUCGAUUAAGUGCCGGAUCGGAUUUGCUAUUAGUGGCAAACGAGGUAGUAAUACAUAGGAAUUUCCCCCUAAGUCGUGAACAACUCACCGAAAGGUGUGCUAAUACACGAUGGUCUCUCUGGAGUAAAGAUUUAUCGCUUAGGGAAAAGCCUGUGGGAUAUCAGCUUGUUGGUAGUGUAAUGGACUACCAAGGCUAUGACGUCUAGGGGAGCUGAGAGGCUGACCCCCACCGAUGGGACUGAGACACGGCCCAUACACCUACGGGUGGCUGCAGUCAAGAACCUUCCACAAUGGACGAAAGUCUGAUGGAGCGACGCCGCGUGAUCGAUGAAGCUUUUCGAAGUGUAAAGGUCUUUUAUGAGGGAAGAAGUUUAUUGACUGUACCUCAUGAAUAAGGGGCUCCUAACUCUGUGCCAGCAGGAGCGGUAAUACAGAGGCCCCGAGCGUUAUCCGGAAUCAUUGGGCGUAAAGGGUGCGUAGGUGGCUAUAUUAGUCUUUCGUUAAAUCCAUGGGCCUAACCUGUGGUCUGCGAAGGAAACGGUAUAGCUUGAGAGCGAGAGAGGUGAAUGGAACUCAUAGUGUAGGGGUGAAAUCCGUUGAUAUUAUGGGGAACACCAAAAGCGAAGGCAAUUCACUGGCUCGUUUCUGACACUGAUGCACGAAAGCGUGGGUAGCGAAUGGGAUUAGAUACCCCAGUAGUCCACGCCCUAAACGAUGCACUCUAGCUAUUCGGAGUAUCGACCCUCUGAGUGGCGUAGCUAACGCGUUAAGAGUGCCGCCUGGGAAGUACGGCCGCAAGGCUAAAACUCAAAGGAAUAGACGGGGACUUGCACAAGCAGUGGAUUAUGCGGUUUAAUUCGAUGAUAAACGAAGAACCUCACCCAGGUUUGAAACUUAACUGUAAUCCCGCCGAAAGGCGGGACCCCGCAAGGCAGUUAAGCAGGUGAUGCAUGGCCGUCGUCAGCUCGUGGUUUGAAUUGUUCCCUUAAGUGGGGUAACGAGCGCAACCCUCGUUGUGUGUUAAAUAUGUCACACAAGACUGCUCAGAACUAAGCGCACAAGUGCGCAGGUGCUAGUAAUUAGUUUCUAGUGUCUAGGUAAUUUCCUAGAACCUAGCAACUAGAAUCUAGAACCUGUUUGCUUGCGAAUUUAGUUCUGAGAGGAAGGAGAGGAUGACGCCAGGUCAGCAUGUCCCUUUGACAUCUGGGGCUACACGCAUAAUACAAUCGCUAUUACAACGGGUCGCGACGGGGUAACCCUGAGCCAAUCCUUUAAAAAUAGCGCCAGUUCGGAUUGAGGGCUGCAACUCGCCCUCAUGAAGCCGGAAUUGCUAGUAAUCGCGGGUCAGAUAUACCGCGGUGAAUACGUUCUCAAGUCUUGUACUCACCGCCCGUCAAGUCAAGGGAGCCGGGAGUGCCCGAAGUCUGUGCAUAAGCAUGGCCUAAGGUAAGCUCGGUGACAGGGACUAAGUCGUAACAAGGCACGGCUAGCGGAAGCUGGUCUUGGAAUAAUUCAAUU